CCAGCCUGCCGCGUGUGUGAAGAAGGCCUUAGGGUUGUAAAGCACUUUCAGGGGUGAGGAAGGGUGACUGGCUAAUAUCCAGUUAUCUUGACGUUAGCCCCAGAAGAAGCACCGGCUAACUCUGUGCCAGCAGCCGCGGUAAUACAGAGGGUGCAAGCGUUAAUCGGAAUUACUGGGCGUAAAGCGCGCGUAGGUGGUUUGUUAAGUCGGAUGUGAAAUCCCAGGGCUCAACCUUGGAAUGGCACCCGAUACUGGCUAGCUAGAGUAUGGUAGAGGGGUGUGGAAUUUCCUGUGUAGCGGUGAAAUGCGUAGAUAUAGGAAGGAACAUCAGUGGCGAAGGCGACACCCUGGACUAAUACUGACACUGAGGUGCGAAAGCGUGGGGAGCAAACAGGAUUAGAUACCCUGGUAGUCCACGCCGUAAACGAUGUCUACUAGCCGUUGGGUUGUAAUGACUUAGUGGCGCAGCUAACGCAAUAAGUAGACCGCCUGGGGAGUACGGCCGCAAGGUUAAAACUCAAAUGAAUUGACGGGGGCCCGCACAAGCGGUGGAGCAUGUGGUUUAAUUCGACGCAACGCGAAGAACCUUACCUACUCUUGACAUCCAGUGAAUCCGAAAGAGAUUUUGGAGUGCCUUCGGGAACACUGAGACAGGUGCUGCAUGCUUGUCGUCAGCUCGUGUUGUGAAAUGUUGGGUUAAGUCCCGUAACGAGCGCAACCCUUAUCCUUAUUUGCCAGCACUUCGGGUGGGAACUUUAAGGAGACUGCCGGUGACAAACCGGAGGGAAGGUGGGGGACGAACGUCAAAGUCAUUCAUUGGGCCCUUUACGAAGUAGGGGCUUACACACCGUGCCUUAAAAAUGGCCGUUAUUACAAG
rnacentral:rRNA from 1 species